CCCACCACUUCAGUCCACAGUCCUAUCAUAACAAGACCUCAGUACAGUUAUCCCCUAUCCAUCCCACCACUUCAGUCCACAGUCCUAUCAUAACAAGACCUCAGUACAGUUAUCCCCUAUCCAUCCCACCACUUCAGUCCACAGUCCUAUCAUAACAAGACCUCAGUACAGUUAUCCCUAUCUAUCCCACCACUUCAGUCCACAGUCCUAUCAUAACAAGAGCUCAGUACAGUUAUCCCCUAUCCAUCCCACCACUUCAGUCCACAGUCCUAUCAUAACAAGACCUCAGUACAGUUAUCCCCUAUCCAUCCCACCACUUCAGUCCACAGUCCUAUCAUAACAAGACCUCAGUACAGUUAUCCCCUAUCCAUCCCACCACUUCAGUCCACAGUCCUAUCAUAACAAGACCUCAGUACAGUUAUCCCCUAUCCAUCCCACCACUUCAGUCCACAGUCCUAUCAUAACAAGACCUCAGUACAGUUAUCCCCUAUCCAUCCCACCACUUCAGUCCUAUCAUAACAAGACCUCAGUACAGUUAUCCCCUAUCCAUCCCACCACUUCAGUCCUAUCAUAACAAGACCUCAGUACAGUUAUCCCCUAUCCAUCCCACCACUUCA